rnacentral:lncRNA from 1 species
UCUUGUUUGCCUCACAUCUCUCCUUUCACUUCUUCUUCUGCAGAAUGAGUCAAUUUAUAGUGAAAUUUGGGCUGCAAAUUUCUUCCCCUAUAGUCACCUACAGUUGCAAUUGUAGAAUGAACUCAUAGGAGGAGACUGGCAGAUCUUGUAAUUGCCGCAUUGCCGAGAAUUAAGGUAGACUGCAUCUAUUUUGUUGCUGCCAAUUUCACUCCAAAGUCAUGAUGGGAACUAUUGCAAUAAAUGCAAUAUUUCAUCUCCACAACCAUUGUCAAAUUUUGUUGGCUUGUGGGACCAUCCACAUGAAGUGGAAAUAGCUCAACAGAAUAAGGGAUCUAUAUUUACCUCAUAAGCAAGUUCAAGAACUUCAGUCAAAACAUUUGCAGGGAACUUAACAGAUGAUAAUCACAAUAGAAUCUGAAGAAACCUCUUGAAUUGAAAACAAUAAGUGAAAUUUCUCAAACUAUCUAAUUUAUCUAUCUUUUUCUCUAGAAAUUCAAAAUAUGUAAUUACAAAAAUGUUAGAGUAUCAUAUUUGGAUUACGAAUUGAACCUAAUAUCAAUUCACAAUGUUUUAAAAUAAAAAGAGGUUGAUUUGUCAAGUCAAAUAUGAAAGAAAGAGAAACCAAAAAAAGCACAAUGAACGGAAAAAGAAAAAUGUAAAAAAUAUCACCAUAAGCCAUGUACCUUUGCGGAAGUCCACUUCGUCGAGAAAUCCAUGACCGACAAACUGUUCAAGGCAAUAACACUGAUACACCGGCAUCAAGCCAACGCCAAGCGAUGGUGAAAUAACGCCGAGUAGCACCCUAGCUGUUUUCUCAUUGCUGCCAAAUAAACAACAAUAUUAACCUCAAUCGCAUUGACAUCUAAGCCUUAACCCCCAAUUACAUAAUUUAAUUUAUUCAAUGAAUGAAAAAAGCGAAAGGGUAUAAAUCAUCUAUAAAUUCAUUGUUGACUUAAAUUCUAGUUGUUCAGAGUUUUGGAGAGAGGUUGAACCAUAUUCUUUUGCACGGAUAAUGGCUUGGGUUUUUGAAAAAUUGAGAGAGGAAUAACUUUAUAGCUUCACUGUUGAUAGAGGGAUUGAACGAUUUUUUUAUAAAUAACCAUUGCCUCAGACAGAUUGUGGUAGAACGUGUGGGAGAGGGGGAGAGAGAACGUGUGUGAGAGAGAGAAAUUUGUUAAUUAUUGCUGAAAUUGUAAUUUUAAAUUUUGCUGGGAAAAAAUAACUUCUACUCCCUCCGUCCCAAUAAAAGUGGCUACUUUUUUUUUGGGCACGGAAAUUAAGAAAGUGCUAGUUAAGAUUAAAUCAUGUGUGGUCCACUUUUUUAAUGACUUUAUUAGUGAGCUAAUCCCAACUACCUCUUGUAACUACUUUUUCCAUUUUUUAACAUUAGUAAAUUUAAAUUCAUUUUCAUUUACAAAUUUUAAAUUUGAUUAAAUAAAAUCUGGAAAUCGAAAUUAAAAUUUAAAUUAAUUUAAAUUUGGAACACUUAACCAAAUUCUACACUGUAAAAAAAAAAAAUCUGGAACAACACUUUACCAAAAUUCUGGCGGCAGAUGCACUUUUUUCCAUAGAAAUGCAAAUCCAAAUUUGGGCGGCAAUUUUUACAAGCUCCCAAAACUCAAAAUAGAUUUUGAAAUUCCCUCUACAUUCAUCUAUAAAUAAGGGAUGUUCCUAUACAUAACUAUUCCCUUCACAAUUCUAAAAAAAUCACCAACAAUGGUGAGCAAAAAUCUGUCAAACCAAGAGAUGAAUCGAAUCGUCCAAUAUCUACUACAAAAUCUGAAAAACGGCAAGCCAAGGAGUGGAGCCAUGAAGGAGGCUGUCACCAUCUUCAAGUCCUCGAAGCGGACUGUCACUCGUCUUUGGGCUGCAGCUAAUAAACAACAAGACAAAGGUGAGCAAAUUUAUCUUACAAGUGCAAAACCAAAUGCACCUAGAAGGAAGAGAGUUCAUGUAGACCUAGAGCUAAUACAAAGCUUAGAUCUACAAAAAUGAUCGACAAUACGUAGGCUGGCCGUGGGGAUCAAUCGAAGCAAAAACACAGUUUGGAGGUGGGUUAAUCAAGGGCUGAUCAGAGCCCACACAAGCGCAAUUAAGUCUGACUUGACAGCCCCGAAUAAAUUGCUUCGACUACAGUUUUUAUUAGAAGCAUUGGAGUUUGAUCAAAUCAUGAUGGCGUUAAAGUUGAAGGCCAUGAACAACACAGUGCAUAUUGACGAGAAAUGGUUCUACAUAACAAAGGCUGCACAUAGGUUUUACCUUACACCCGGUGAAGGAGAUCCUCACCGGACAUGCAAGAGUAAGAGCUUCAUUGAAAAGGUUAUAUUUUUGUGUGCCAUUUGCAGGCCACAUUUUUCAGAUGAUGGUGAAGUUUUUUUUGAUGGAAAGAUUGGUAUCUUCCCAUUCAUACAGAAGGUACCAGCUCAAAAAAACAGUAAAAAUAGGGCAGUGGGGACUUCAGAGACGAAGCCAAUUCAGUCUGUGACAAAAGAAGUCAUGAAAGACAAUUUCAUUAACAAGGUAGAGCUGAGCCUAUUGUUUGUAUACAUUGUGGGCUGCUAUUUAGUGUUAUUGUUUUAAAAUGAAUUUUUUUGUUGGUAUUGUCAAACACACAUCAAAUGCUGCCAGCUAUUAGGGCCAAGUGGCUCAAAAUGUAAGCAAAGUCAUAUACAUUCAGCAGGAUAAUGCCAAACCGCAUAUACAUGACUCAGACCUGAGUUUAGGGCUGCUGCCACUUUGGAUGGAUUUGAAAUUUGAACAGUUCAUCAACCCCCAAAUUCACCCGACACAAAUGUGAAUGACUUCGGAUGGUUUCGAGCUAUUCAAAGUAUCCAAACAAAAUCAGCAUGCUACAAUGUUGACCAAUUGACAAAGGCAGUCGAGGAAUCAUAUGCACAGCUCUCUCCUCAUACUCUCAACAAGAUUUUUUUGAGUUUACAAGCUUGUAUGGUGGAAAUCAUGAAGCAAAGAGGGCACAAUGCAUACAAGAUCCCCUAUUUGAAAAAGGAUGGACUUAUGAGGGCUAAUGAGCUGCCUACAAACUUACAUGUUCCACUAGAGUUAGUGGAAGAGUGCUUCACAUAUAUGAAUGAGAAUGCACCAAUGCAUCAAGUUGAAGGGUUGAUGGCUAAGAUGGAAUACCCACACGAAGCAGGAAUCCUAAAUCAGUUUGGACAGUUAGGAAUUUAGAAUUUGGUUGUGGAGUUUUUGUAAAAACCAAAUGUGGUUGAAAUGCAUCCCGUAGUUCAAUUUUUGUAAAGGCAAUGCAGUUUCAAUUUUUGUAAAGGAAAUGCAAGUUCAUAUAUAUGAAUGCAAGUUUUUGAAUAGGAAAUGAUGGUAGUAUAGGAAACCAAAUGUGCAGCCUUAUAAAUCAAUCAAACACCCAACACAUCAACAUAUAUGAGGCACCAGACGGCCUCAAACCAUUUCACACCCUAUACAUCAACAAUUAUGAAGGCACCGGGCGGUCUUAAACUAUUUCACACCCAAUACAUCGACAUAUAUGAGGCACCAGGCGGCCAUAUACCAUAAAACAAUCAACUAACCAAUGUUGCUUUCAAAUUAUUUCUUAGACAACAUUAAAAAAAAGCAUCAAAGAAAUUUGUCACAUAGGAUUCAUCAUUUCAGCAAGAUUUAUACCAUCAACAAACAAUGCAUGCUUCAAUCCCCACUUUAAGCACAUAAAAAAUCAGAGAACAAGUGCCAAAAGGAAACUUCUCACCUGUAACACCCCGUAUUUUUUAGAGCUAUUUGUGCCCUAGCUCAAACUUAAUUUGAGUUUUUAAAUAGCAUCUAGAAAGUAUUUAUGCACGCGGGCGAAUAAAUGAGAUAAGAUUUAUUGAGAGUUUAUUAGGAGACAGUAUUAUUUUCUCGGGCCUUAUAAAUUCUAUUAUUGAGAAACCUAUCUUCGCCCUAUAUUUUUAUUGAAAUGUCUAUGUGAUAUAAAUAUUUUACUUGGUAGAAUAUUCACAUAUGAAUUAUUGAUGCAUUGUUAUUAUGAUAUUAGUAAUAUCAUAAUUGAGAUAUAUUUUCCGCACACAUGUAUAUAUAUAUAUUUUCAUGGGUCAUAUUCCUACACACAAGAUGAAAGAUAAAUUCCCUAAUUUCUUCCUCACAUUUUCGGUUCUCUAAUUUCUCUAUCUCUCUUAUUUAUUUAUUUAUUUUCCUACAUUAAACACCACAUGUCUAAUACAUGCAUGCAUAGUAAUCUAAUAACCUAAAGUACUGUACUUACCUACAUCUAGUAGACAACUCCCCUCAAUUCAUGCCCUCACAAAUCAUGUUCUAUCUCUCUCUCCUUCCUCCCCCUCAACUCUCAAUCUCUCUCUUCUCUCUUUUCUUUUCUCUCUUCUCUUCUUCUCUCUUCUCUCUCUCCUUCUUCUCUUACCUCACGAUACCUCACCCUUCACCUCCCUAUGGCCUAAAUCUCCAUAGAUCAUCAUCAAGCAUGCUCCCUACAAGAUUAUACAUUUAUGUGAUAAGAUCACACCAUCCCAUCACCUCUCAUCAAGACAAGCUCCCCUUCUUUCUUCAUAAGCUUCGGCCGCCCCUCCCCCUCUUCACUUCACCCCAUUUUCUUCUUGUUCCACCAAAUAUAGCAAGAACAAAGGUUUCUAAAAGUGUUCAUCUUCAAGUUCAAGCUUCAAGAAAACCCUAGGCAUCCUCUAAUCCACCUUCUUUGAUUUUGUUAGAAGUAAGCUCAUAUCCUCAUCUUAUGAUACGUGUAUAUGUAGGUAUAAGAUGAAUAAGCAUGUAUAUAUUGAAGCAUGAUAAUCCUUCCUCUCUUGUUUAAGAUUUUCGUAAAUAGAGAAGGAGAAGAAGCCAUAGAUUUCUUCAAGCUUUCUUUUAACUCACAAGUUUAUGUACCUCUACAUGUUGGAUGCACAUGAGUGGAAUAUUUUUCUUGGUCACCCUUAAGGGCUAUGUGUGUUAUGUGAAGCAUGAUGAGUUCUUGGUAUGAAAAAGCAUGAGUAUAUUGGUGAAAAUUAUAGAUCUAUGAGGAUAUAUGUGAAGUAGACUUUGAAAUUAUAUAAGCUUUGGUUUUUCAACCAUUUGAGAAUUCUUCACUAAGCUUCUGUACUGCUGAGUCGACGAGGUUUUCAUUGUCCAAAAAUCUUGAAACUUUUAUUGUGUGUAGAUAGAGGUUUCUUGAACAUGCUUGUAAAAUUUCAAGCCAUUUUGACUUCGUUUACUUCAUUUUUAAAUUAUAAAACUUCUACUGCAAAUUUCUACCGGAAAUUUGGAAGGGCAGUCACUGGAGUCACACUUUUCAGUAGCUUUCCAAAAUAUUCUACCUCUCAAAUUUUUAUGGUAGAAAGAUACUUGUGUUAUUCAGAUACACACCAAAUUUCAAGCCAUUUCGGCAACGUUUACUAUUUUUCAAAAAUCUUAACUUCCAGUUAUCCGAAACUACCGAAUCUGGUAGACUGUGGGAAAACAUUCAUAUCUUUUAAACCACUUGGAUUUUUUCAACCUACUUUUUUUAAAAUGAAACUGACUCAAAGAGGUUUUCAGCGGUAUAAGUCUCGAAUCCAGGAGAGUUCUGAGAUGAAACAGUUUAUUCUUUAAAGUCGAGGCAGUGCAGAAGUAGUAAGUUGUAUGUAUUCGAAAUUUUUUCUUUUGAUAUAUGAGAAUUUUAAAGUUUUGGUGAUGGUAUACACCAUAUUAUUUCAUGAAAAUGCUACUGGAAUAUAUAUAUAUAUAUAUAUAUAUAUAUAUAUAUAUAUAUAUAAAUUUUUUUGGAAUUUUUUCAAAAAAGGGAUUUAUGAGAUUUAUUUGUCACAAUUCUUAUUGAAAAGGAUUGUUUCGACUUUUAAAGGUUUGAAAAGAAUGUUUGAGUGGGAAUACUUAUAUAUAUAUAUAUUCCAUAGCUUACAUGAAUAUUUUAGAAUUUACUUACUAGGGAAAAAGAUUUCAAGUUUCAUGGAGUGACUUUUAAGUCAUUUUACUAUUGAGAUAAAUUGUGAAAAUGUACUAUGUGGAAUAAUUGAUUAAUUUGAAGUAUGAAUGACUAUGUGAAUUAUUUGAGUGUUAUUUACCUAUAGGAUUGAGAGUCUUUUAAUUGGAUAAGAUAUCCAAUUACUUGGGAGGUCCAAUUGGGUAAAUAGUGGAGAAGUUAUAAGAUGAGAUUAAGCAUAUGAUGAAAGUAUAAGUAUUAGAUAUUAGUUAGAUUAAUUUCUAACUAGAGUUUAUUUUGUCACAUGGCAAUCUAAAUUACGUGCGCCACCAAAGGUUCGAGUGACGGCCGGCGUUAGUACGACUCUGAGCUCUACGUCAUCGACCCUUGAGACAGGUGGACUUUAUUCUAACUCUAUUAUGGCAAGUUACCAUGAUAAUGAGUUCAAAUGCAAAUCUUAUGAAAAUGAAGCAUGUUGAAGUAUUAUGAAAAUUGUCAUCUUGCCAUAUUUAUUAUUGAUGAGAAUGAAAUGUGGUAUGUUGCCUCUAUGAAAGACAUGAUUAUGAUCACGAUGCAAGAUAUCGGCCUUUGACUGAUUUAUAUGACAGUAAAGGUUUUGUGCGUAGAGGUGAUCGUGAGCCGUCUCUAGUCGGCUGAUCACGGUGAUUUGAAGGAGGCCUCCUUCUCUUCACCUAAUAUAUAUAUGAUAUAUGAGUUCUCAUAGUUGGCACAUACCUUGAAUAUAUACAUUGUCUGCAGACUAAUGAUAUUAUUAUGAUGAUGCAAAUGAGUUUAUGACAGAAAAACAUGAACAUGUAUUUUUAAUCUCACUUAAUCCUAUUGAUGCAUUGAAAUGGACAAGGUUGACAUAUAGCUCUAAGAGCAACAUUGCAAUUAUUUCUGGCAUGAGUCCACUGAGUGCUUUUUGGUACUCAGCCCUGCAUAUAUUUCUAAAUGUGCAGGUCUUGCUUGGCGCGAUGAUGGGUGAAGGCUAUUGGAACUGUCAGUUAGCCGUAUCUUCCUAUGUCUCACAUUUAUCUUUAUACGCUUUGACUCUAUAAGUAACUGAACUCCCUGCUAUAUGUCUUCACACAUAUAGUAACGAAUCUCGCUGCAUAACUCUGACGAAACUCUUUUAUUCAAUUUGCUUAUGUCUGUAAUAUCCCAUAAGGGAGAAUACUUUUCAAACCCUUGCUAAGUCUCCAAUUACUUAUUUAUGUUUCACCCAAGUAUGAAAAUGUUUUGGUCUUAAAAUCUUUCUUGAAAAUGAGUAAAGUUUGCAAAUGCUUCUGCUAAAACAAGAUGUAUAUUCUGUUUCUUUCACCAUUUUUUUUAUUAGUCGUACGAUACUUGUAUACGUUAUCACUGGCUAUAUCGGGCUGCGACAUCACCGAAUAAGGAAACAUCUGCUUCAAGAUUUGGAAUCUUGUAAGUUUCUUCUUCAUCACAGGCUGCUCCUCCGUUUCCGGGACUUGCGUCCAGCCACAGAGUCCGCAUCUCUAGUAAAUCGGCUGGGACGAACGUCCAAGGGACCACGGUGACAGUGUGUCGGCCGCAUAACCCAAGAGAUACUCAUGAUCUCCGUCGAUUCAGGCGGAGGUGGAUAGGUCAACGGAGGCGGCGGAGAAUCACAUGCGAUGGGGGAGCCCUUGAUCUGACAUUUUUUCUCAACCAAUGGCGGAUCGAACACCAAUCGCCGCCGCAUCGACGGAGACUCCACGGCGAGAGGAGCAUGAGGCAACAGGUUGCCGCUCAGAGAGGCGACGGGCUCCGACUUCGUCGGAGAGUAAGUGGAGGCAGCGGGAUGAAAGGGGGAGCUCUCGCUGCACAAUCUCCACCGAAUCAAGGGAGAAUCGACGACGAAAGGUGCGUACAACAGGACGCCGCUCAGAGAGGCGACGGGCUCCGGUGAAGCCGGAACAUCGGAAGUUUGCUUUUUCAUCAUCGCGAUGGGUUAAAACCUUAGACCCAAAGAGGCAAAAGGCUCCGGUCAACGAUGAAUCGAGGGUGAAAACCCAAGAUUCAGAGGGGCAACGACGAUUCAAUGACGAUUGAACGGCGGGAGAGCAACCAAAACCUUAGAUUCAGAGGCAACGACAAUGAGAGAGAGAGCCAAGAGAGUGGGCAGCUAGGGUUAGAUGAAAUGAUGGUGAAAAAUAGACUUAAGUAGACUAUGUUAGGGUUUACUUAAUAAGUUAAUUAAUGAUCUUAAUUAAUUUAAAUUGUUCCUUAUUUUAGAAAGUGGCCACAAAUAAUGAGACACACCAAAAAGAAAAAGUGGUCACUUUUAUUGGGAACGAGGGAGUAUAAACUAUGUUUUCAUAUGAUAUAUAGAUAGAUAUAUGGAUUAGCUAUUUUAUUUCAUUUCUUUUUAAAUUUGGAAAUUGCUAGAGGAUCAACACGUGCCAUGAGAUUAUAGGCUCUAACACUACUAUAGGCUUUCAAAGUAGCCAUACCAGUGCACUGGAGUCGCGUGGUGUUAGAAGGCCUCUCAAAUUCUCCUUCCUCGUUAACCGCCAAAAUGAAAAUCACACGUCAUAUCGCCUGCAUUUCUCUCCUGUUCCUCUAUGCGAAGUUAAAACCUUUAAAAUUUUAACUUUUUAUAAUCAAGCGUCUUUGAUACAUUUCAUGCAGAACUGUAUCCAGCCGAACCGUAGGAAACUACUUCGUUGAUCACCACCCCCUUCAUAAAUACUCCGUGAUUUAUCAUUUCUGCAUGAGUUUACUCCCAGUUUUCCUCUUCUCUCUCUCUCUCUAAUACUCUAUCUCUCCUACCACAACUCUAUACUUCCUAACUUUCUCUCUCUGCAUAAUGUCUCCGGCGUCUUCACUCGAGGUCAUCGCCGAUCGUUCCGAUCUGUUACUGGGAAACCUUCCGUCGGAGGAAACAGAAAUUCCGGAAACUGUCGCCGAUGCGUGGAAGAAUAUCGUCCGCGACGUUUCGACUACUCGCUCCGAUCUCGGUAUCUCAGCUGACACGGUGGAGAAUACCGGAAAACUUCGCAAGGACAACGUGAAAUUGAGCGUAAAUGUGGUGUUCCCCAGCAGUUCCAACGGUGGAACGGCAGACAGCGGAGAGUCGGAGGCGGUGGCUAAUACUAGUGGAGGUAAGACGACGUCGGUUCUGAAACCAUCGCCUAGCGUGGGGAUGAGUCUGGAGAAUCAUAUGGAUUCGCCGAUCGGAAACGGUGGCGGGGAAAAUGGCUCCGCUGCGUCAAUGAUCGAGGAGGCGUGGGAACUGCUCAGCAAAUCAUACGUUUACUUCAAAGGACAGCGUGUUGGUACAAUUGCAGCCAAUGAUGAUCCAGGAAGCGAGACCUUGAACUACAAUCAGGUAGCUAUUUAGACAUGUUUCCACUAAAGCUUAUAAUUCAAAAUCUGAAAAUAUCUAAGCGAUGCUUACGUUAUAUUAUCCCUGUUUUAAAAGCGUAUUGAGUUUUGACUUUUCUGAUGCACAAUUGUAUGUUAACACCGCGUUGUAAUCUAUAGCAUCAAUCACAUUUAACACUGUUCACGGCCUUUGUUUGUUCUGUUCUGUAUAUUGUUUUGGUAUGUCUCUCUAGUUUAUGAACCUUAUGUUUUUCGUUUGAAUUACUUUUGUUGGUAAUGUUAUGUUGCUUUGGUGGUUGAUAUCUACAUCACAUGCACCACGAUUCACGCUGGUGUCAUUCUCUGUUUCAGGUUAGAUUGUUCACCGAUUACUACAGAUUCAAAAUGUCAUCAAAUUUUAAGAUGCUGUUGAGUCAUUUAAUUCACAUAAUUAUUGAUACAACUCAUGCUGCGAUCCUGAAUUUGGUAGAUAAUUGCUCCCUAUAUCACUUCUGACAGCUCCUAUAUUUGCAGGUAUUUGUGAGAGACUUUGUUCCUUCUGGGUUGGCUUGCCUGAUGAGAAAUGAUGCUGAUGUAGAGAUAGUGAAAAAUUUUCUGCUGAAGACCCUCCACCUCCAGGGAUGGGAGAAGAGGAUAGAUAACUUUACACUUGGAGAAGGUGUUAUGCCUGCCAGUUUCAAGGUUAUCCAAGACCCUAUCCGGCAGAAGGAGGUUUUACAAGCAGACUUUGGAGGCAGUGCGAUUGGAAGAGUUGCACCCGUGGAUUCUGGGUUCUGGUGGAUUAUAUUGCUGCGUUCAUAUACUAAAUGCACACACGAUUACUCUCUCUCAGAGCUACCUGAAGUCCAGAGAGGAAUCAAAUUAAUACUUAACCUGUGUCUAUCGGAUGGAUUUGAUACAUUUCCUACACUCUUAUGUGCAGAUGGAUGCAGCAUGAUCGACAGGCGGAUGGUAGAAAUCUCUCUACAUCUCUUAUCUCCAUGUUCGUAUUUGAUUGAUGUUGAAGUAGCUUAAUGAUGCUUGAGUGUGCUGAUUGGUGUACCCUGAAGUUAAACUGCAUAUGAUGUAGAUGAUGUCUGAAAUUUAUAGUUAAAAUCAUCUUCAAAGACUAUAUUUGCCGGUACUUUUGUGAUUUUGCUAGUGAGUUAUUGCAUUUGAGCUGAUGUAGCCUUUACUUGCAUUAUGGACAGGGGGUUUAUGGUUAUCCAAUUGAGAUCCAGGCACUCUUCUUUUUUGCUCUGAGGUGUGCGAGACAAUUGCUUAAACCAGAGCAUGAUGGUAAGGAGUUGAUUGAGCGUAUUGAUAAACGGAUUACUGCUCUGAGUUACCAUAUGCAAAAUUACUACUGGCUUGACUUCACUCAACUGAACAACAUAUAUCGCUACAAAACUGAGGAAUAUUCUCACACUGCUGUCAACAAAUUCAAUGUCAUUCCUGAAUCCAUCCCAGACUGGGUGUUCGAAUUCAUGCCACUGAGGGGUGGGUAUUUCAUUGGCAAUGUAAGCCCAGCUCGCAUGGAUUUUAGGUGGUUCUUGGUUGGAAACUGCAUUGCUAUUUUGAGCUGUUUAGCUACACCAGCACAGGCUACAGCAGUUAUGGAUUUGAUUGAGGAGCGUUGGACAGACUUGAUUGGGGAGAUGCCCCUGAAAAUUGCAUAUCCAGCACUUGAAGGACAUGAAUGGAAGAAUGUAACCGGCUGUGAUCCAAAGAACACGAGAUGGAGUUAUCAAAAUGGUGGUUCUUGGCCAGGUACUCAACAGAACUUUGUACAAGUUUUCCUCUGAAGCAUGUUACCUGCUUGUUCGAAAAUUAGAUUUAUUGUUUUUCAUAGAUAAUAUUCGGUGACAAAGCUUUCCUCAUACUGAUUUCUUAUUCACAGUUUGUCAUUUAAUGUAUCAUAGUCUAUGACUACACUGUAGCAUAUGGUUGGUAUGAGUAAGGUUCCUCUUUCAAUGUGUAAGAAUGGCAUUUCUUUGCAGUUCUUUUGUGGCUACUCACAGCUGCAAGCAUAAAGACUGGAAGGCCUCAAAUUGCUAAGAGAGCGAUAGAGUUGAUUGAACAACGUCUCUCAAAAGAUGGAUGGCCCGAAUACUAUGAUGGAAUCACAGGGCGGUACAUUGGAAAGCAGGCGAGGAAGCACCAAACAUGGUCGAUUGCAGGAUAUCUGGUCGCAAAGCUUAUGAUAGAGAACCCAUCCAAUCUGCUCAUCAUAUCUCUUGAAGAGGACAAGAAGAUUGCAAAGCCAAGGCUCACCCGCUCUGCCUCAUGGACCUACUAGCUUGCUACUCAAGAUAAUCAUACACUGCCUUCAAAAAUGGUACAAACUCUAGAAACAUGUGGCUCUUCUCAUGUUUCUUCAAUAAAAGGUAAUCUUUAGUUGCAUAAGAUGGAAAUUAGACCAACUAUGAAAUUCCAUUAAUUACUGCUUGCUUCAGUUGAAAAUGUAAAUUCAUAUACUCCAUAAUAGGCUACAAGUGCUGGAUCUGUUCUUUUUAAGUAGUGUGAUUAAUUCUCCGAUCAUAAACAGCUCAUGUGGUAUUCAGUCCCAUCUUUUCAAUGAUUAUACUCAUAAACAAGUUGAGGCUUUUGAUGUAGGAGUAGUAUUUAAUUCUCAGCUCUCGACUUUAUUUUAUUUCUAGUGACGCUUUGAUCUAGCCAAACCGUGUGCUUUUACUCAGAAUUACUUAAAACGCCUUUGCUUCCUUUCCAGCUAAGGCAUUUGAAAAACAAAACCGGCCGUUACAAGGCACGGAAUAUUAUUAGCCCUUGAGUUACUCCUCUUGAUAUAUAUAUCCAUCGCCUAAAAAAGAAGAGAAAUCCUUUGUUGAUGAAGUGCGAGAAGGUGGCGAGCUGGGUGGGGGCGAGCGUGGCUGCGGCCUUCUUCUCGUCUCUGGAGAAGUGUUCGUGUAUUAACAUAUCAACGCUGGACUUCGACGUCGACGAGGAGGCCGACGAUCGCCCCCUUAUGUUUACCAAAUUCCCUUCCGAAGCCUCCUCCCACCACCGCAUUUCCAUCGAUAAGCUCCAUUACCCUAUAACUAUUCCUAUGCCUCUUUGAUGCAUCUAAUUAUACAUGCCUGUGUAUCAUAAUUAAAUUACGUUACUAUAUGUUGUUUAUUUAUUAGUCUGCAAAAUUGGGCUCUGUAAUAAUUCGACAAUGAUUUGAUCAUGUAGCGUAAAACUUUCAGUUUUAUGUCGCGUUGCUUGUAUAAAUUUUCUUUCUCCUAUCGGUUUCUGCGUGAAAAAAAGUAAGGAAAAGGAAAGUCUACAGAACUAUAUCCUUACCAUCUUACAUGUUCAAUUUUAGUUUAGAUUUUUUCUCUCUCUCUCUCUCUUCGUUAUUUAUUUUACUAACAAAUAACAAUCACAUAAUAUGCCAUGAGAAAUAUUAGGGACGGAUGUUGUGAUCGAAUUCAGUUUGCCGCUUUGUGUUAUAGAAAUUUAAUUGGAAAAAGUGGAACUAGUUUCUUUUUAGGAUUCAUGAAUUGUAAACCCUCUUUACUAAUUGUUCCUCAAGCCUAGUUAGAAGAAGAAUCCAUGAAAAGGAAUAGUUUUUGGAGGACCCGCUGCAGUGAGAAAGUGAUCCUCUCGUAGCACGCCUAAAAAGAUUUCUAAUCCAUAUGUAAUCUUUUUUAGAGAGAGAUAAGCACAUAUUUGUUUAUAUAUUUUUUGGCAGUAAGCACAUAUUUAAUCUUAAAUCUAUAUUCGCAUACAAAGUUAUUGUGAAUAUGAUAUAUUGAUAUCUAUCCAUAAAAGGCAAAGUAUAUUCUCAAGUCCCUCUACAAAAUAAAUGUCUUACACCAUCUUAUACAUUUGAACAAAAAAUUUAUGAUAUAUAUUACUCUAUAUGAUUGAAAAUGAUUGUGUUUUAUAUUUUUUGAAUUUAAUGCACAACUACUCAAAAUUCACAUUUCAACGGUGAUUAUCUUGAGGUUGUCGGUUUCCCUCAAAAAAAAAAAAAUCUUGAGGUUGUCGGCCCCUUAUAUGUGAGGUAGUCGUGCAGCUAGGUCAAAUGGUCAGCCGACUACCUCAAUUAAAGGAGCAGCUACCUCCAAUUUUUUUAAUGAAAACAAUGCAAUGCAAUUAAAGAAUCAAUGGCUACCUAAUAUUCCCUUACCUUUUGAAUUUAAUCAUAUAGCCCCCACCCAAUUUUUUUUAAAAACCUAAUAAAUACCCUACCACAGCCCACAGUUAACACCUCCAAAAAUUCCUACCACAUCCUCAAAUGACUACCUCAUCCAAAACAAAAAUACCCACGGCUAGUUCACGGCGUGAGAGAUAGAAAGAAAGAAUCAAUCCGCGGUCAAAGCUCGAGUUUAAUCUACUAUAAUGACUUAUUUUUUACAGGUUCUUUAUUCGAAUCUUUAGGAAAUUUAACAUUAGUAUUAAUUUAAAGUAUAUUUUAGAGUUUUAAAAUUAAAGUCUCAAUUAUAUGAUCGCAUUAAUUAUAUUUUUUAGGAUGUAUUGAGCAUGAAUUACAUAUUAUUUGUAAUUGUUCGUAUUUGUUCUAAACUAAAUUAGCUCCUCAAGCAUGUAGUUGAUCGUGUGAUUUAUGAUUAAUUUGUGGUAGCCGGUCGUGAUUCACGAUCGGCUACCUACAAGCGUUGAUCGGCUACUUCUUGAUUACUUGUUAAUUUUUAUAAUUUUAUUGCCGAUCGGCUACCUCUUGAUUUGUUGUUAAUUUUUAUAAUUCUAUUGAUUGAUAGUGAUCUAAUUUAUGAAUUUAGUAUUCAUAAUUAAUCGUGAUUUCAUACUUAUUUAAUUAUGAAUUGUUUUCUUAUGAUAAUUAAUCAUGACUUCAUAAUUAAUCGUGGAAUUUAUAUUAUUUUCUUUCGAUAAUUCAUAAUAAUAGUGGAUUAAUAAUUUAUAAUAAUCAUGACAUUUGAUAAUUAAUCGUAGCUUCGUACUAGAAUUUAAUUAUGAAUUGUUUUCUUUUGAUAAUUAAUUGUGGUGAUGAAGAGUAAACUCUGCAUCAAUUAUACGCAAUUAACAUGGCUGAAAUCUUUCUUUUAUAUUAUUAUUAUUGACACAAUUAUUACUAUUAUUUCAAACAUUUUGUGUAGCGCUGACUUGACAGGGCUGACCUUAUCAAUCGAGGAUUAUCUUGGCAGUUCAACGACUCAGCUCCAAGCUUAAGACUCAUGUAAUAAGGGCUUAGGCCCAAUAUUUAAAUUAAUGGGCCUCAGGGGUCAAAUGGGCUCAAGUGCCCUAGUUUUACUCUUAUGGCUAUAAAUAGGACAUUUUAUUAUUAGUUUAGGGGACUUUGGACUCAUUUUCUCACCAUGUAAAUUGUAAACACAAAAAGUAUAGUGAAAAACCUCAAAAACCCACCGUGGAUGUAGAUCUAAUGAUCGAACCACGUAAAUCCUCGUCAUUUAUCGCUUUAUAGUUAGGUGUUGAUUUUGAAUUCAUCAACUAUUACUUUUACCCUUUAGGUGUGUCUCCUGAUGAUGAUCACUGAUCUUGUGAAAAUAUGAAACACCCAAUAGUUGCCCCGAGGCAAUAAAUAAGUGAUGGAAUUCAUCCAUCGGAUCCUACAUCUAUCUUCACUAAUGACCCAAGGUUCUCCUACCUUAACAUGUGAAGAUAUUUAGGCAGCGUAAGAAACAAUUGAUCAUGUUGACCGUAUAUCAUCUCAAUCUCCUGAUUUCGUGCCCGCAAAUCAGCAUCAUACUUGAUGCGCACACCGAAUUCACGUUGUAGCUCGUUAACAAUUACCUUGAGCUUCAUGAUCUCUGUCUCAUCAUGAGUUUAUGACAAACUGACUAUGAAAUUAAUAGGCCCAUCCAACAUUUAUGACAAACUCAAGCUGCAAACUCACUCAAUGUAAAUCUUAUUUGCCCAUCAUUCGUAUCUUCAGUAGCAUUCGAAUCGGUUUCGUCUUCACCCACCUCAUCUUCAUCCACGGGUAAGCCUGAUGAUCUCCAUGUGCGGCUGCACCGUGUUCCUAAGGUAUCAUGGACAGCGAAGCAAUGUUCAACUACUCUUCAUCACGCGCUGCGGUUUGUGGUUGAUCCUAGUCUCCCCAGAAUUGUGGUGUAGUGUGUUGUCAAUCUUGGACACCCGCGUGAAUUUGUUGUUGAUCCUAGGUGUCCAGGACUGUGAUGUAGUGAUCUGCCAAGAAGCAGUAUUUUGCUUACCUUGUUUGCCAUCAGCCAACCAAUUCAGACCGACAUAUCUCUGAAUUACUUCCAACCCCUUCAUCAACCUGCUGUGAAGAUUGUGAAUCAUACCUAUACUCUCAAGACCGAGGGCAUUUAUACGAUGGGACGUAGACUUUUUGUCUCGACUGUUCCACUACAAGACCUAAUUCAAUAUGUCGUGAUUCAACAUAUAUACACUACAUGAUUGUUGUGCAAUAUCUUCAUCCCCACAAAUUGGAUAUUUUUUAAUCUACCCGGCUAAUUCUUUGAUAGAUAAAAUACCUUGUAGGUAGAUGAUCUCGGGCAAUACAUAGUUAAUUUGGUAUUCCAAGUUAAUAAUAUCAACAUUUAAAAUUGCAACAACCGUUGCAGCCCUACCAACGUAGUUACAGUCCUCAUAUUCACCCAUGUAUCUCACAAUGACGUUUUUUUAGGAAAUUUAUCUAUCUACAAAUAAAAUAAAGAGAAAGAUAAAUAUUAAAAUACGUCAUUACAACCGAUGUAAUUUCUGACUGACUACCCAGUAUCCCGACCAAAUUGAAGUAUAGUUUAUUUAAUUUCAUGACCAUCUAAAUCAUUUCUAUAAACAUGUUCGCCAAAAUAAUUUAAUUACACGAAAACACCAACCCUUUUGUUUAUCACUAAUUCAAUAAAAUAAAAUAAAAUAAAAAGAUAAAAAUGCUCAACAUUUCAAUAAUUCAAUAUUUCAAAAUUGAUGUUCAUUCAAUUUAAACUAUAAUAUCGAUAGUUACAUCCUUUUUUUAGUAGAACUCUUGACUCAAAAUGCAAUGUGCUUUUCCCAAAUAUAUAAUUUUCAAAAUGUAGUAAAUUAUUGUCAAUUGAUUUUGUGUUUGCGUUUGAGUUGGAUUGCCAAUGUUUGAGUUGCUUUAAAUUUAUCAAAGUGUUGAACAUGAAUUAUUACAUAGCUCACAUUGUAGUAAAUUUGGCAAUACAUUCAUGUGAAUUUAAAUCAUUGCAUGCAUGCAAAAUAAAUACCACGAAUUAGGGUUGUAAUCGAAUCGAAGCGAAGCGAAUAUCACCAUAUUCGAUUCGUAUUCGUGAAAUGAUACUAAUAUUCGAUUCGUGAUUCAAUUCGACUUCGAAUAUUAAAUUCAAUUCGAUAUUCGAUUCGUUGCUAUUUUUAAAUUAUUCGAUUUGAUUCGAGUAUUCGAUUCGAAUAUUCGAUUAAAGUAUUCGACUUGUAUUCUAUACUAUUCGAUUCAAAAUUCUGAGAGGGCUGCAGCAGACGGAGAGGGCGAUUGGCGGCGGGUGACGAGCCUAGCAGACGGAGAGGGCGACGUUGCGGCGAGGUGUUGGCGACUGGCGGCGGGCGACGAGCGAUGCAGCCGGCGCGGCGACGCGGCGUACGUGCAGAAGAGAAGAGGAAGCUCAGGCGCCGCUAGAUGAAGGAUUUGGUUUCAGAUUUGAAAAUGGAGGCUCGUCUAGUUAGAAAUGAAUUAGGGUUAGAAUUGUUUUUUUACUAUUUUUUUUAAAUGAGGGUUAACAAUUAGAUAUUACAAAAAUUGUAAUUAAAAUGUUAAUAUACUAUAUAUAAAGUAUAUAUAUACAAUUAGGGUCAGAAUUAGAUAUUAUAAAAUUAUAAUUAAAAUAUUAUAUAUAUAUAUAUAUAUAUAUGUAUAUAUUUAUAUAGGGAAUGGCUAAAAUAAGAGCAUUUCUUAAGAUAUAAAAUAAGAAUCAUUUUCAGCCAUUAGAUCAUCAAGAUCUACGGUUGAUUCGUAAUCCUGUUGGAUGAAUUUAUGGUCAUGAGUUCGAAUCCCAAAGGUAGCAAAAAUUUAUUAUUCACAAUUCAUACCUUUAUAUAGCAAAUUCAUACGUGUUCUACAUGAAAUUCAUACAUUAAAAAUUGCUCUUAUUUCUUAUUUUAAGAUGUGCUCUCACGGUAUUUCAUAUAUGUAUUUGAAUAAUAAUCGAAUCGAAUCGAAUAAUUUCGAAUACGAAUAGGGCAAUUUCGAAUCGAAUCUCGAAUCGAGCAAAAAUAUUCGAUUCAUUUACAACCCUACCACGAAUUAUCAAUCACAAUUUGUUAAAAAAAACUAAGUAGUCUUCCUAUGACUACCUCAGAGGGCCGACUGACUACCUACUUUUGCAACUGGCUACCUAGACUACUAGCCACCGAAUUUAAUUCUCUUGUAUAAAAUAAACUUUUAAUUUUUUCAUAAUUAAUAAAUUUAAGGGUUAAGGUGUAGAUUAGUCCCUGAAGUAGACCCCCCUAGAGCGUUUAGACCCCCAUAAUCGGUCAAGGCGCGUUGACCUCCCUGAACUCCAGAACAAGGGUGCAACUAACCCCACAUAACUAACGGCCUACUCACGCCGUUUCCUUCGAUUUUUUUUUAAUAUUAAAAAGGGCCAAUCUAUCUUCUUCCUUGACUCACGGUGUACCCACCAUUCUUACCCUCAAAUCCCUCUCUCUCUCUCUGAAAAUCACGGCUGAAACACAGCACCGCCGCUCCUUUCCUCUUCUCCGGUGGCGUCAGCCGCCGCGGCUGAAUCUGGCUCCGCCUCCCUGGACAGUCGUCUUACCCUCUCUCUCUCUCUCGCUCUCACUUUGUCUUCGCCAAUUCUGGAAUACACACAAAAGUAUUGAGCCCCAAUUUCGCCUCANUUUCCUUCGUAUUUUUUUAAUAUUAAAAAGGGACCAAUCUAUCUUCUUCCUUGACUCACGGACCCACCGGUUGUACCCUCGCCAUUCUUACCCUCCAAAUCCCUCUCUCUCUCUCUGAAAGUCACGGCUGAAACACAGCACCGCCGCUCCUUCCCUCUUCUCCAGUGGCGUCAGCCGCCGCGGCUGAAUCCAGCUCCGCCUCCCUGGACAGCCGUCUUACCCUCUCUCUCUCUCGCUCUCACUUUGCUUGCCAAUUCUGGAAUACACACAAAAGUAUUGAGCCCCAAUUUCGCCUCAGAAACGCUGCUUCCGCCGUCCUGUGAUUUCCGGCGAGCCGGCGCUGCCGCUAGGCGCCGCUUCUUUCCUCCUCCCUCUCCCCUUACUCACUGACGACUCAGCAUACCCAUCUCUCAGCUCUCGGCGAAGUUCCAGAUCGAGCCUUAACCCUCCUGUUCUCUUCGAUUCCGGCCGCCGCCGCUGCUAUCACGGAUCCGCGAGGCCCGUCUUCUGAAGGCCAACGAGGCCCGCGGCUCCCACCUCGUUUUUCCCCUGUUCCCAAAACAGAAGGGCGACUGAGCCCUAGCCUCCUCUAGGUUCGACUGAAAUCGACGUCCUGGUUCGACUUCCGGCGGGCCGUCUCUGCCUUACAGCCACCGUCGAGUCACCGAAAUUCGUUGGUGGUGGGCCCCAUUUAAUAUUAAAACAAAAAAAAUUCGAAGGAAACGGCGUGAGUAGGCCGUUAGUUAUGUGGGGUUAGUUGCACCCUUGUUCUGGAGUUCAGGGAGGUCAACGCGUCUUGACCGAGAAUGGAGGGCUAAAUGCUCUAGGGGGGUCUACUUCAGGGACUAAUCUGCACCUUAACCCUAAAUUUAAUUCAAAAAUUUAAUAUAUUAUUUGAAUAAAAAAACACUCGAAUGUCAUAAACGAUUGAUUGAUAUCAGCAAACUUUCUCAAUAAUUGCAUGCUUUUUUUUUACACAAAAAAUAAUGUAAAGCCAUCAAAAUUAACGGGUAAUUUAGAUCUUUUAUUUUAAUUUGAAUAUAGAAUCAAUUUUUUUAUAUAUAAAAGUAAAAAAAAAUAGUUUACAAUUUAUAAAUGUGGUCCAUUAACACUAAACAAAGUCUAUAAAUUUUCGAAAAUUAAUGUAUAUACACUACUAGCUAUCUGAAUCUAAAUAAUUCCUUCAAUAUUGUGACUUCAAUUUUCAAUAAAUUAAACACAAGUGGAGAAAAGGUAAAGGGACGCUCCACCAAAAUUAAAAGAGCAAAAAUAUAGUUAUACUAUCUUUAUUUUUUUAAUAAAACGGUUAAUAUCUAAUCUUUUUAAUAAACACAAAAUGAUGGCUGGCCGACUUAAAAUGCUUGGCCUUGGCGCUCAUUCGCUUUCAAGUAGUAGCUUGUAAUAGCUGUUUUACUCGUACAUGUUCCUUCAAAUUCAGAUUAUAGAGGUCAAUCCCUAGCUUAACCAACUCAAACAAUUCCACGUCCAUUCACUCAGAAUCGCCACAGAUUUAGCCAAAGAUUUGAUCCCCAAACUAUUAGAAAUCCCCAGCGUAAGCUAUGCACACAAGGUGCUCGACAGUAUGCUUGACCGCAUUGGUUGACAUGUAUGCAUGGAAGGGGUUGCUGCGUUUGGCGAGAAAGGUGUUUGAUGAGAUGGAUGGCAAAGAUGUGCCCACUUGGAAUCUUUGAGGGGAUUUGGAUGAGGCGUUGCGCUGUUUCUUGGGUAUGCCGUCAAGGAAUGUGAUUUCUUGGACUGCUUUGAUAUAGGGAGGCCAGGCUUUGGCGAUGUAUUUAGAGAUGGAGAGAGAGGGGAGAGUUAGGCCUAUUCACGUCACUAUAGUCUAUCCGGCUUGUGCUAAUCUUGGCGCGUUGGAGGUGGGGCAGAGGAUCGAGGCUUAUGCUCGUGCCAAUAAUGCCUUUGUCUGUAACGCAACGCUAUGCGAGGUGUGGUGUGAUAGAGAAGGCAAUGCAGUUGUUUGAUGAGAUUGGUGGUGGUAGAAACUUGAGUUCUUGGAUUAGCAUGAUCAUGAGUUCAGUUGUUCAUGGAAGAUGUGAGGGAGCUCUCGACCUGUUUAACCCAAUCCUGAUGAGCUUUCAAUUUGACUUUGUUUGAGCAAUCAAGAUUCAACAGUAAAAUAGUGUUGCAUAUAUAGUAAUAGUAGUAGUGGGUGUGGUUAAUGCAUGAGACAGUCUCAUGUUCGAGUUCACUAUUACACGAUCUUUAAAAUUACUUGUUCAUCCAUAAAAGAAUUAGUAUUGCAUAUACUUGUCAACUUUAUUGAAGAAGGUGACAGACUUGAUAAGUUUGUAGUCUAAGCUAAGUGUCAUUCCAAAAUCAAAAUUUGUGGGGAAAUUGAUUUUUUGGGUGAUGAAAUAAGAUUCAUGGAGUCAUCUUGAAUAUUUUCUCCUUCAAUAUCUUCUUAGCGAGUCGAGCUCAAGAUAUAGGCUUGUUUAAAUCUAUAAAUUGAACUCAAGCUGAGCACAAGCUUAAUGAUUCUCUUAAGUCGAGUUCCAGCUUCGAUCUCAAUUAUGAAAGAUUUUCUUAACUGACCUUCAUUAUAAUAACUUACUAAAUAGGGGCGGAGCCAGACUUUCGAUAAAAGAUGACAUUUUUCAUAUAUAACUUAAGGAAUAGGACAUUUAAAUUUUCACUCAAUUAAUAAUGUGUUCACUUCUUCAAAAUGUCUUAGCUCUAAAACUUACGUAUAUAUCAAUUACAAUAUAAAAUAGCUCAACACGAUUAUGAUAAAGAUAAAAUCAUUUUUAUAUUUUUUUUAAUAUAAAAUUACAAAAAUACCCUUACUAUAUUUGAAAAUCCCAGGGGGCCCAGUGACCCCCCUGCCCCACCCCUAGCUCCGCCCCUGUUCCUAAACAACUAUCAACUAUAAAGAUAAGCUCGUGCAACUUAUAAUCUCCUUGAAAGAUAAUUUAUUCAACCCAACUUAUUUUUUCAUAAUAUUUUACCAACAAUUAUUUUACAAAAAUAAUUUUACUAUAAAUUCAUAUAUACUUGCAAUUUUAUAACUCUUCAAUUUCAUCUCUCUUACUAGGAUUUUCACACUCUAAUUUACAAUCUCAAUUAUCCAAUUAUACUUUAACAACUUAUAAACUCGUGAUGCAUACUCUGUUUUUGGAGCAACAACCCCUAAGUAGAACCCAAGCUAUCUAUUUGGAUUCAUUUACAACUCUAUCGGUGACUUUCAUUUAUUUAUAGUUGUUGUAGAUCGAUUGGUUGAAAUUGAAUAUUAGAAUUUUCAAGGCAUAAAGAUUGUUGUGUAGUCAAAAUAAGAGCCACAAUUCUUUGUAAAUUUAAUUAGUACCCAAUCAUCACAUUAGCAAUAGAUAGCCAUUUCUUUGAACAAGUUUCUUUGUAACUCCGGAAAUUUGUAAAACUUGAAAAUUAAAGGAUUCAUCAAAUUAAGUUAAAAGAUCAUCUCUUUUAUUUCAAACAGAGACAAGAAAUUGACAAUUCAAAGUAACUAUAAUAGCAAGAUGCGACAAGAUUUAAAUAUGUGAAGUAAGAAGAAAAAGUGUCUAAGCCGUUAAAUUUUUGUGCAUUAAUUUUUAAGAUUUGUUAAAGUUAGUUAUACUGUAACACUCAAUCCUUAUGUAAUUUCAAUUUGUCAGCGCGUAUAACUGGGAUUUUUUUUCCUCCUGCAAACGCUCUUUUAUAAAAUAAAAACUUUGAAGCAUGACAUUUACACACAGACACACACACACACACACACUAUAUAUAUAUAUAUAGAUAUAUUAUAUGAAUAUAUUCCAACUACCAGUUCGCUUAAUAACAAAAUGCAUACGCAUGAGCAAUUGAUUAUCUGAGAUUCUGAUUUUGACAAUGAACAUAUAUUUGUAUAUAGAGGAAAUUAGAGUAACCGGUGGAUACAGUACAUCAAAGUCAAGCUUCAAAAAUAUUUAAUUAUGAAUUUGGUGCUUUUAAAUAAUUUACAAUCAUUAAUGGGCUUAGCUUAUACGUUUUGCAUGGGCUUGUUUAGGCCAACUGCUUUAGUAAACUGAUCCCACAGUAGAAAUAUAAGUGCGGAAACACAUUUAUUAAUUACUUAAGACAAAAUCAAAGUUGGAAAAUACAAUAGAAAAUAGUAGAAUAAGUUUAGCUAAGAUAUCUAGGAAAGCUCUAUCUUACUUGAUGGGAUUAAUAUAAAUGUGAUUAUUUUGGAUCAAAUUUACCUCCCUACGCUGAGAAAUCUACUUGAUAUAAUUCAUUCAUCUAAUUAAGUAUAACACGAGAACUGUUAUUGAUAACAAUUGAUCUGCAUAAAUUCUUUGAGUACUUCUCAGUAGAAUUGCAUGAAUCAGUGCAUUAAUCAAAAGAAAAAACAUAACAAAAGCUGCAAUCAUGCAUGGAAGCUGAGCUGACAGACAUUAUUCUUAAAUAAUCAUAUUUUUCAUCCAACUCUUCAUCAACUUUAUAUAAAAAAAACUCGUACAUGUAUCGUAAUUGGAUAGGUUUUAUUUAUUAAUUUGGUUGUUUGUUGCAUUAAAAAGCCCUUCACUUGAGUUAGAUUGAACCAUCUCUCUCUCUCUCUCUCUCAUGCAUGGCAGUCACAACCACUGCCCUCGUGUGUGCAUUGUUGAGUUUGCUUUCCAUCUCUCAUAGCGUUCAUGGAAUCAAGAGAUGGCCUGGCGGGGCUUCCACCAGAUUCUACGACUUCAAGGUACUCUCUCUCUCUCUCUCUUAAUUAACUAUGGGAAGGGAAGUAGAUAGGCUUUAAAAUAGAAAUUAUAAAGUUGACAAAUUAGAAAAAUGAAAAAUUCUCCCUCUAUGGGAUUUGAACUGGGACUACGAAAUGAUGAAUCCAGUGUAGAUGCAAUUUAUAUCUUAAAAUGAGUUUUUAUUUGAUCUAAUCCUAGCAUGAUCACAUAUAUAGGUGCAAACGAAGAGGGUGACGAAGUUGUGCAACAGCAAGGAGAUCGUGACCAUUAAUGAGAUGUACCCCGGUCCAGUGGUUUACGCUCAAGAAGACGAUCGUCUCAUCAUCCGAGUCUCCAAUUUGACGCCUCACAAUGCCACAAUUCACUGGUAUACUCAAAAUACUUCACUUUCUCAAUUACUCAUUAUUUGUGAAAUGAUGCCCGGAAUAAUAAAUAAGGUUAUGUUCCAAAGAAAAUUAAAAUGUUGUAAGACAAAGCAUUGUUUGUUUGUUGUAAAACUAGGCAUGGGGUCCGACAACGGUUGUCGUGCUGGUCCGACGGCCCAUCUUACGUGACACAAUGUCCGAUCCAACCGGGGCAGACUUUCAGUUACGAGUUCACCCUGGUUCAACAAAAGGGCACCUUUUUCUGGCAUGCUCAUGUCUCGUGGCUCCGGGCUACGGUUUAUGGUGCCUUGAUCGUUUACCCCAGACCCGGUGUACCCUACCCUUUCCCUUACCCCUACCAGGAGCAUAUUGUUAUUCUAGGUUGCUUCACUUCUCCUGAUUUCAAAUCCCUUCCAAAAAUACUUUAAAAGAUGAUACGUUGAGAUUAAUGUUGCAAUCAAUAUAUAUAGGGGAAUAUUGGUUGAGAGAUCCUCUAAAGAUCGAGCAGGCAGUUUUAGCUAGCGGCGGAGGCGCUCCCAUCGCGGAUGCUUACACGAUCAACGGCCACCCCGGCCCCAACUAUAACUGCUCCGUCAACGGUAAGCCUCAAGUCUAGUAAUAAGGAUAAAAAUAGUUACAUGAGAUGUAAGAAAAAGGUAAAUUAAGCAGAAACGUUCCUUAGAUGUGUACAGGAUGAACGUGGUACCCGGGAAGACCUACCUGCUGAGGUUGAUCAACGCGGGAUUGAACACAGAAAACUUCUUUGCAAUUGCUAAUCACAAGCUCACCAUAGUCGAAGCAGAUGCAGAGUACACAAAGGCGCUCCACACCGACAAGGUGAUGCUCGCGCCGGGCCAGACCCUCAACGUCCUCGUCACAGCAGAUCAGCCCAUAAGUAGAUACUCCAUGGCUGUCGGGCCAUACAUGUCUGCAAGAAACGUACCGUUUCAGAACAUAACCUCAGUAGGAUAUUUUCAGUACCUAGGUGCAACACCAAACAGCAUAUCUUUACCAGCCAUGCUACCUAGUUUCAACGACAAUCUUGCCGUUAAAACUGUAAUGGACGGGCUCCGGGGCCUCAACACCUCGGAUGUUCCUAAAGUAAUUGACAAGAACUUGUUUGUCACCAUAGGUGUGAAUGUGAAUAAGUGUAAUAGAAAAAACCCCAAGAAAAACUGCCAAGGCACUAAUGGUGGGGUGUUUGCUGCUUCCAUGAACAAUAUAAGUUUCAUUAGACCUAAUGUUUCACUUUUAGAAGCUUAUUACAGGGAUAAAGCUGGCUACUUCACUGAUGAUUUCCCCGGGGCACCCUUAAAAUUUUACGAUUUUGUUAACGGGGCGCCUAACAAUGCUCCUAAUGACACCAACGCGAUGAAUGGGACGAGGUUGUUUGUGCUUGAGUAUGGGACAAGGGUUCAACUCAUUUUGCAGGAUACUGGCACUGUCUCGACUGAGAAUCAUCCAAUUCAUCUUCAUGGCUACAGUUUCUACGUCGUGGGGUAUGGCACGGGUAACUACAAUCCGGAUACGGCUAAUUUCAACUUGAUGGAUCCGCCUUACAUGAACACCAUUGGAGUUCCUGUUGGUGGAUGGGCAGCAAUUAGAUUUACAGCUGAUAAUCCAGGUAUUGCAUCUACUUAAAUCAGUCCUGGCAUCGAUUAUUUACCUAAUAUAAUGUUAUGCAUAACCAGAAAAUUGAUGGAUCAAAUAUAUGCUGCAUAAGAAAAUACAUUUAUGAGACAUCCACACGCUCUUAGACACAUAUGAUAUACUAACACAGACAUCUGCAUCAUUGCCCAAGACAAACUUGAUGAGACUUUAUGAAUGUGGUGCAGGGGUCUGGUUUAUGCAUUGCCAUCUGGAGAUACAUUUAUCAUGGGGUUUGUCUGUGGCAAUUAUUGUCAAGAAUGGGCAAGGACCACUCGAGACCCUCCCCCACCCUCCAGCUGAUUACCCUCGGUGCUAGAAGAUGAAAAACAAGAAUCACGAGGAGGGCUUUUGAUCUUUUCCAUGAUUGGAUUCUUUCGGACAAGUGUGUAUUAUGUCUAUGUAUGGCUUGGUUGUCUCAAUAAAAAUCUCUCUGUUUCUAGAUUCAUUUUGUUAGCUUUUUCGCCGAUAAGAAGCCGUUGUAUAUUGAUGAAUGGUGACGACACACAUCUUAAUUAUAUGAAAAUGCACGUUGAGAAGACAAACAUGGUGAUAUUGAAAGUAAGCUAUAAUGAUACCCUUUUCAAAAAACAAGGCAGAGGGAAGAGAAGCUGUAAAUUACUGUAAGCACAUGAUGACGGUGACAUAUUUAAUAAAGGAGGCAUGAAGUAGAAGAUGCUGAAUGUACCUAUUAAAAAUGGAAAAUAUGUACUAUAAACUUUUAAUUAAUUAAAUGCCAACUUGAUUCUUCAAGGCAUAUAUAUCAGAGUAAAAACUUCUGUACUACAAAAGUGACAAACUAACCAACAUCACAUGGCAUUUUCAUUCUAUUUUUGUUUGGUUCAAAAAUGUUUAAAAGAAGUCGAGAUUUAAUAAACUCUGGGACAAGGCAUUGCCUUUUCUCGUUUACUUUUAGUAUAUGCGUCUCAAGAAAACCUAAGAUCAAUAAGUGGAUCGCUUAGUUCAUUGACAUGUGUCAAUGGGUCAUAUGAACUGCGAGCAGAAUAUGCUGAAAAGUACCUUAUUGAAUCAAUUCUCUCUGCUGCUCGAAGCUCAGAGCUCAUGCGAAAAGUAUAAGUGGCCCCAAAACCAUGGCUAUCCUCAAACAAUAAGAUGCAGAUUAAACCAUCAGUAAGUGUAGAAGAGAAAUUACACGGUAACUAAGAUUAUGUAAACGCAAACCUUAACAACUCAAAUUCAAGAGGGAGAAGAUCGAAUCUAUUUCAUAAUUAGUCCAACAAAUCCAUGUAUUUAUAGUAGCAAAAGGAGGGUACUAACUUGAUGUACUGACAAAUACCUCGUUGUAAGUACAAUUAUUCUCUGUACUGCAUCUCUAAAGAGACAUAACAAAAGACAAUGAAAUAUAGUUUUCCAACCUUUUUAAUAUCCUCUCAGUUAAACAAUAACAGGGUAAAAGUUCUCACAAUAAGAUAAGAGUAACUGAGCUGCCAACUAUUUACUCGAUAAACCCCCGAGCACAAGUAUAAAUAGG